rnacentral:lncRNA from 1 species
UUUGUGUCUGAAGUUUCCUUUGUUUCAUGAUUAUCCUUGAAGGAUGCUUUAGCUGAGUACAGAAUUCUGGAUUAAUUUUUAUAUUUCUUUUACCACGUUGAAGAUAUUAUUCCAUGGGUUUUGGGCUACUCUUCUUGUUGUGAGUAGUCUUCUGUUUGUCUAAUUGUUGUUUCUUUGUGGAUAAUUUAUAUUUCUUCUCUUUGAGUUCUUAAAUUCUUCAUGUCUUUGUUACUAAAUGUAGCUAUAUGUGGAUUUACUUUUAUUUAUAGUUUUCAGGACCUAUUGUGCUUCUGGAAUCUGAGGAAUUAUGUCCUUCAUCAGUCCUGGGAAUUCUCAGCCAUUAUCAUUUUAAAUAUUGCCUCUCCUCCACACCCUUCUAUUUUAUGUUCCUUUUCUCCAUGUCCCAACUUCUCAUUCAUAUUUUCUCUCUCUUUUUUGGUAACAUCCUCAGAUUUAGCUUCUAGUUAAUUUGUUCUUUCUCCUCAUUUGUGUCUAAUCUGUUUAACCAUUUACUUUAAAUUUCAAUGAUUAAGUCUUCCAUUUCUAAAAUUUCUCCUUGGUAGCUCCCCCAUAGCUUCCUGUUGUUUCUUCAUAAGAUCUUUUUCUUAAUUUUAGGGGUUUUUUUUUAAAAGAUUUUAUUUUUUUUCCUUUUUCUCCCCAAAGCCCCCCAGUACAUAGUUGUAUAUUCUUCGUUGUGGGUCCUUCUCGUUGUGGCAUGUGGGACGCUGCCUCAGCAUGGUUUGAUGAGCAGUGCCAUGUCCGCACCCAGGAUGCGAACCAACGAAAUACUGGGCCACCUGCAGCAGAGCGUGUGAACUUAACCACUCAGCCACGGGGCCAGCCCCUUAAUUUUAGGGUUUUGAUCUCUUUUUUCAUGUGUAGUUAUUUUAAACACACUUAUUUUAUAUUCUCUUCUAGAUUAUCAGUCUAAUACUUCAGGAUUUUAGGGCUUUACUCCUCUUGUUUUGUUUCUCCUGACUGAGCUCAUGGCUGAUUUCUUUUUUGUGUUUUACACUCUUUUAUGAUAAACUUAUUUUUGCCUGGAUUGGCUUUAUUCCGUAAGAAACUCAUGUGACCUUAGAUGAAGGAGCAUCCCUCCAGAGUGGUUUUACCUUUGCUCCUGUAAGUGCCCAGGUUUUCCAUUGAGCCAGGAUCAAUUUUUAUGUUAGUUUCUUAACUUAGGGAUUCCUGGCUACAAGAGUGUAAUGUCAAAGCCAAAACCAAUGUGAGAAGCAGGCCUGGGUUUCAAUUUUUCAGUGAAAAUUUUUUCCCUAUCCAGAGUAUGGGCAAAGAAAUAUAUAUUUUCUUGUCACCUGCCUGUGCUGGUGAGCAGAUUUUUUUUUCCUACUACCCUUUCACUGACGGUGCCACCCUUUGAGAGUUCCAGCCUCUCAUAGAGGUUUCUGGUCCCCUACCCUGUCUAGAACCAUGUCCUUUACUCUUACAUAUGCCUUAAAAUCCAAGUCCCUAGUUUAUGGCAACUUCCUCCCUCCUGACGCCCAGAAGUUGCAAUGGUUGCUGGAGUCUUUUUCCCUCAGAUUUCAGCACCUGCUUCCUUUUUGCUACUUGCAGAUUUCUCUUCCUUUCUUGCAAGCUCAGCUAUAUAUCUAAAGACUUUUUCUUGUAUUUUAUCCAGCAUUUCUAAGUAUUUGUAAUGGGAGAUGUUUCUAGAACCACUGCCUAUUAACUUUUUGAAAGAUGUCUUAUCAGCACAAAAAGUGAGUAUGUGGGAAUGCUGGGGACCAGAGGGAUGGGCAAGAGUUCAGGAAAAAAAAUGUGGGAUGUACUGUGAAUUGGAAUCUUCAUUGUAAUUCAGCAUUCUUCCAACAGGGGAAUACAUACAAAAGGGGAUGUGGGCAUAUAAUUUUAGGGGAAUUAACUCAAGAUUUUCCAUUUUCAUGUGAAUUGUGUCUUAAAAUUGAUGAGCCAGUGGUAAAGGUGUAUGCAGACUCUCCUUUCUCACUUUCCCUUUCAAAAUAGUCCUCCCACUUUACAAAAGGAAGACAUACCUGUCACCCAUUUACCUCACUGUGCAAAAUCCUCCAAAAGGACUAUAGGAAAUAUUGACUUCUGGGAAGCAUCUUUUAAUUACUAAUCAAGUUACCAAAAGCAUGCUUUAAGGUUUUGUAUCUUACACUUCUGUUAAGGGUGAAGCUAGGGACUAGAAAUGGAAUAUUUUGUUCAUGUUGGGAUGUACCUAAUUCAGUGUGAGUCUAGGGGAGUAACGACAAUUUUUAUUUAAUGACUUUACCUCUUCCAUUCCCCAAAUAUUGUCAAAGGAUGCCUCACUUUUUAGGAGGAGUCCGACGAGGGAAAAGCAAAGAAAGCACGGGUGAAAAAUACUGAAAGCUAUAAGCAGCUUUUAGAAUAUAAGCAGUUCUUUUAGGCUACUCUUAAA